rnacentral:lncRNA from 1 species
UAAACUCUUAAGUAUUAGUGAAUCUAUUGUUUUGAUGGGAUACUCAUUCUACAAAACUAGUUUCAAUAAUCCAACCGUCAAACAUGUUUGUAUAUACUUCGAGAUCGCAUACGCCAAAAAUUGCAAAAAACAAACAUUCAGAGAUCAAGUAAUGGGACAAAAGUUUUCGACGGUUAUAAACAAAAAAUCACGAUUUAACGGUUAUUUUAACUCCGAUUUUGAUGAUUUUUUACAACUACACUCCUUGACCCUAUAUGAAUACAAGUAAUGAAUUCGAUCUUCAAUUUAAAAUAUGUACACUAGUGGAUACCACAAAAUCUUAUGUUAUACUUAAUAAAAGUAUGAAUAAACUAUUAAGUA